rnacentral:lncRNA from 1 species
CUCAUUUCUCGGCUUGGAUCUCGACUUUUCUUCUUGAACUCGAAGAAGAAGGCUAUAGCAUGAACCCUUUAUGCAGAUUUGAAGGGAUCUGAAUAGGACAUCAAGAAAAAAAGAAAGAAUUUUUCUUCUCCUCUUUCUCUCUCUCUAAAACUCUCUCUCUCUCUCUCUUUGAUCUAAUCUGAGAAGGAAGUGGGGUGUGAAGAGGAAGAAGGGAGGAUGGCAUGGAGAUAGAACUUACAGUAAGGGAUCUCACGUAGGAAUACUUCACGCACGCCAAUCUCCCUUCUUUUAUUUUAUCGCCCAAAACCAAUUCCAAUGCCCCAAACCUGAUAAGAUUUAAUCUUAACUGCUUCAAAUUCAAGUUUGAAUUAGUUUAAAUUAAUUCUUAUC